GAUGAACGCUGGCGGCGUGCCUAAUACAUGCAAGUCGAGCGAACGGACGAGAAGCUUGCUUCUCUGAUGUUAGCGGCGGACGUGUGAGUAACACGUGUAUAACCUACCUAUAAUACUGGUAUAACUUCGGGAAACCGGAUCUAAUCCCGGAUGAUAUUUUGAACCUCAUUGUUCUAAAGUUAAAGACGGUCUUUCUUUCACUUAUAGAUGUAUCCGCGCUGCAUUAGCUAGUUGGUAAGGUAACGGCUUACCAAGGCAACGAUGCAUAGCCGACCUGAGAGGGGGAUCGGCCACACGGGAACUGAGACACGGUCCAGACUCCUACGGGAGGCAGCAGUAGGGAAUAUUCCGCAAUGGGCGAAAGCAUGACGGAGCAACGCCGCGUGAGUGAUGAAGGUCUUCGGAUCGUAAAACUCUGUUAUUAGGGAAGAACAUAUGUGUAAGUAACUGUGCACAUAUUGACGGUAACUAAUCAGAAAGCCACGGCUAACUACGUG
rnacentral:rRNA from 1 species